rnacentral:rRNA from 1 species
AUAUUGGACAAUGGGCGAAAGCCUGAUCCAGCCAUGCCGCGUGGAUGAUGAAGGCCCUAGGGUUGUAAAGUCCUUUCGACGGGGAAGAUAAUGACGGUAACCGGAGAAGAAGCCCCGGCUAACUUCGUGCCAGCAGCCGCGGUAAUACGAAGGGGGCUAGCGUUGUUCGGAAUUACUGGGCGUAAAGCGCACGUAGGCGGACAUUUAAGUCAGGGGUGAAAUCCCGCAGCUCAACUGCGGAACUGCCUUUGAUACUGGGUGUCUAGAGUAUGGAAGAGGUAAGUGGAAUUGCGAGUGUAGAGGUGAAAUUCGUAGAUAUUCGCAGGAACACCAGUGGCGAAGGCGGCUUACUGGUCCAUUACUGACGCUGAGGUGCGAAAGCGUGGGGAGCAAACAGG